UUUCUCGUUAUUGUCUCAUUUCCAUGUUUAUUUACCCCACAUAAAGGCUGACUUUGCCGAGGUGGCCAGUUGCAGAACCAGUUUGAGGAAAUUUGAUGCUACGGCUGCAGCGACUGUCAACAGAAGGGAAUCAUGUUCCUUUAAGGAAGAUGGUUGUGACACAUCAGCAAGGGGGUGGUUCUUUUAGGCAGGUGCUGAGGUGAAGCACAGGCGACUUCACAGUACAGCUCCCCGAGACAAAGACCAAGCUUGUGUGUUCCUGUUUUAAUGAGAAGCUGUACGAAGGCUUUAAACGAUGGAAGAAGCCAUUGUCAUGGCAGAACACAACUGCUCGAAGGGAUCAUAUGUGACAUUGAUGUGUCCUUCGACUUCCUGUGAGGCCUUGUGUCAGAUUGUCCAUGUGAAGGAUCUAGCCAGCUCUUCCCUGAAUGCAUCUUUGGCAAUGGAUCCAGAGGGGAGAUCUCCUGAUUUUUAUAUUGGCCUGGCCUUGGCCAUUUUCUCCAGCUGCCUCAUCGGUAUCAGUGUCAUUCUAAAGAAGAAAGGGCUGCUGCGUUUGGCUCAAAUAGGUGCUACCAGAGCAGGGGACGGUGGCCAUGGUUAUCUAAAGGAUUGGAUGUGGUGGGCUGGCCUUCUAACAAUGGGCAUUGGAGAAGCAAUGAACUUUGCUGCAUACGCAUUUGCUCCUGCAACAGUUGUCACUCCGCUUGGAGCGCUCAGCGUCCUGAUCAGUGCUGUGUUGUCUUCCUAUCUCCUACAAGAGAGACUGAAUCUGUUGGGGAAAUUGGGGUGUGUGCUCUGCAUUCUGGGGUCAACCGUCAUGGUGAUUCAUGCACCUCAAGAGGAGGAGGUGAAAACACUGGAAGAAAUGGCACUGAAACUCAAAGAACCAGGGUUCCUGGUGUUUGCUUGCCUCUUACUGAUCACAGUGCUCCUCCUCAUCUUCUACAUGGCCCCCAGACAUGGACAAACCAACGUCCUGGUCUACAUUGCCAUCUGUUCUCUGAUCGGUGCUUUCUCUGUCUCCUCUGUAAAAGGGAUCGACAUUUCCAUCCGAGGGUGCUUCGCCAAUCUCCCAGUGCAUAAACACCCAUUAACCUGGAUUCUCAUCUUCUCAUUGCUGGCCUCCAUCAUCACCCAGAUCAACUACUUGAACAAAUCCCUUGACAUUUUCAACACCUCAGUGGUCUACCCUAUUUACUAUGUGUUCUUCACCACUGUAGUUAUCACCACCUCAGUCAUUCUGUUCAAAGAGUGGUACAGCAUGUCUGCAAUCGACAUUGUGGGCACAAUCACUGGUUUUGGAACCAUCACUCUCGGUGUCUUCAUGCUUCAUGUCUUUAAAGACCUGAAUUUCAGCCUGAAGAACUUGCCAAAGACACUCAAGGCACAAGAGGGAGUCUGCGUCACUCCUAUGCUGAAAUUAGAUGACAAGCACAUCCUUAUAGAAAACACAGACAAUGCAGUGUUCACUGAGGAGAAACCCAGGGUCUUUGUUAUUUAUGGGUGAAAGUUUUAGGUUCAUAGACAAUCUUUAAAAAAAAAUGAGUGCUACUAUGAGAGCCAGUCUCAGGCAGAUUAUGAAACUAUUUAGUGUUUUGGUGCAGUGCCUCGACGUGUGAAUACACUGGUUUAUUCCAUGUGCCCAAUGACCCAGAAAUUUCACUGAUGAAAGGUCAGGUUAUUCCACAGGAUUUCAAUUCAGUUCCAAUCCAGAAGCUAUGUUACAGUUUGAGGUGACAGCUAAUCAUAGUCCGAGUCUGAUUCACAACGAUUCCCUCACAUCUCUUACACUUUACAGCCCGUUGUGACCAGUGCAAAAGUAUCUUGCAGUUUAAAUGGUGGGAUUAUAUCAAUGAUCAGCUCUACUCUGUCUCUGGUCAGGAUUGGAUGCUUGAAUGAAGUGCCAGUAUCAGACCAAUCAGCCCUGCAGUAUAAAUAAUCAUUCUUGGGUAAUGGGAAACUCUGUGACUUACCCAGUUUACUUGUGAAACUAGCCCAUUUUUCAUUUCAUUUCUAUCAAAAAAAAUGCAGUUUUAAAGUGUAAUUUUUUUUCCUGUCAGAGAUGAUUUGUUGACUUUCUUGUCAACGAGUCUUGGCUUUGGAUCCUAUUAUACUAUUUGCUCAUGGCUGGUUUUAAGUUCAUAAAAAAGUCAUCUUGUGUUGUUAGCUCAUCUUAAUCGAAGAGGUGGUACAUGUUCACCUUAAUACUCCAGGCUAGGGAGGGAAGAACCGCCAUUGUUCCUGCUGCUGAUCACUAACCAGCAUGUAAAGAAUGUAAUUCUGUUUUUGUUUUGGAUUUCCAGCAUCCACAGUUUUUUUGUUUUUGUUUUUAUCUCUGUAAAGAAUGUGUGUGUGUUUAUGUAAAUGCCACGUGAGGAAAGCAUCGGAUUUGGACUGACACCUACACAAAAAGCUGGAAAGCAUCGACCAGGGUUGGACUUAGCCCUAUACACCGUGACAGCAACAGGUAGUACUGCAUUCCCUCAGUAGUGCAUGGCUGUAUCAGCCGAGGUGAAACCCUAGGGCUUCAACUCACAACCUCUUCACUGACAGUGUGGGAGUGCUAUCCAUCGAGCCAAGACUGACAUAUUGUUGAGCUAUGUCAAGCCAACGCACACCUGCCUUUUCUCAACCCUCUAAUUCGUGCCUUGAUUUAGGACACUUCCAUAUACUCACUGCGUGUGGAAUAACUCAGCAAGUGACGCACCCCUUUCGAAGUAAAUUAGCUUUCCUCACCAGUGAUAUUUCAUUCAAUCUCAGUACCAUCAGAGGUUGGUGUACCAAAAUAUUAUCAGGGCUCCAAGGCUUAGAUUACAAGGAAAGAUUACAUAAUCUAGGUUUGUAUUUCCUGGAAUAUUGAAAGUUAAGGGGAUGAUUUGAUUGAGGAUUUUUCGAUUUUGAAAGGAUUUGAUAGAGUAGAUAGGGAUUCUAGGAUGAGAGGACAAAAUGUUAAAAUUAAGCCAAGGCAUUUCAGGAGGGAAAUUGAGAAACACUUGUUUACACAAAGUGUGGUAGAAAUGUGGAACUCCGUCCAACAAAAGUAGUGGAAUUUAACUCAAUUAAUAUAUUUAAAUCUGAGAUUGAUUAGAUUUUUACUAGACAAGGGUAUAAAAUGAUAGGGAGCCAAGGCAGGUAGAUAAUGUUAGGAUAAAGAGCAACCAUUAUUUUAUUGAAUGCAGGAACAGGUUUGAGGGGGCUGAAUGGCCUCAUUCUGUUCUUAUGUUCAUUCCUGCAAGUAAUCGUUCCAAUCUUGGUCACACUUGACUGUACAAUUGUCUUGGUCCAUUUCAGAUUACUUGAAGUUACUUUUAAAUUCUUAUUGCUGAUUUGUCCCAUGUUGAACAUGGGAAGCUAGAAUAUCAGAUGAAGAAUCUGUAGGUUUUUUAUGAUAGUGUGAAAACUGAUUUAACAGUUCCUUCAAGGCUCAAAGACUAAGGGGAUUUUAAAAAAAAAAUCAUUCUCUGGAUGUGGGCAUCACUGGCAAGCCUUGCAUUUAUCACCCAACCUUUGUUGCCUUGAAGUUGAUGGUAGAUCUUUUUCUUGAACUGCUGCAUUCCACGAGAUGAAGGUGCUUCUGCAGUGAUGUUGGGCAUUUUCUAUGAGUUUAACUGGGAGUCAAACUUCCAUCUGCUAUAAUUCGGUAGGGAACAGUGGCCAGAAUUUGCCUGCAAAACAGCAUCUAAUUUUUCUAUCCUUAGCCAUUCCUGGGAUGCAAUGCCUGUAAAUAUCAUUCAUUUACUUCAGAAUCUCCCCUGAUAUUAGCACUGUAGUCACAAAGUCUCGGUGGGUCAUUGGGCUAGCUGGUAAUAUUCAGACCAGGAAGUCCCCAAGUUCUAUCCCUGGGCUGGCCUGAGUUAGCAAAUCUCAGUCAGCCUAUUGGACUGGGAAGUAAAAGUCAGCCAGGGUUUCUGGUCUUGAUCACCAUCCAUAAAGAAAGGGGACUUGCACCCAUAGAGUAAAGAACAUUGGUAAAUGCAGGAAACGAUUUAAAGGAAUAAGGACUUAGCAGCAAAGAUAAGCAAAAGACUGCAAAUGACAGAAAUCUGAAAAGAAAACAGAAGAUGCUGGAAGAUCUCAGUAAGUCAGGCAGCAUCUGUUCAUGGAGGCAAAAAGUAAUUGAUCUGAAAUGUUAACGUUUCUCUACCCAUAGAUGCUGCCUGACCUACUGUGCAUUUCCCAUUUUUUUCUUCUAUUGAUUUUCAAGCGUAGUUCUGGUUUUGAAUGUGAACUCCAUUCUGUCUGGCACCAACUUUGAUCUCUGUUCCAAAGGUCCCUCAAUUCCGUUCCAGAUUCUGCAAUGUGGAUCAAUAUUUGCAUAUACACCGGGGAAAAUAUUUUGAUCACUUUCAAUCCUUAGUAAAUGAAUACACCCUGAAAGGACAGCAUAUUGGAACAAGGUGAAAACAGUCCAGUUGUAUUUUUCUAUUUUAUAUAUAUUUUUGUAACAUCGUUUUACUUAUUGUUUUUGUAAAGGUGAAUUAUAUGUCUCUGUUAAUGCAUUAUGAUUCCUUCAGUGCGGAGUGUAUUUAACAGCUGACUCAAAGUCAAACAGAAGCAAGCCAUAAAUGGAGCAGCCACAACAAAUGUUUGACACUAUAUUGUUAAAAAUUUCUAGAGAAUAAUAAAAAUCAACUAUAAUGUUUAAAUUUUCACAUGAAUUUA